AAACUUGAGAGUUUGAUCCUGGCUCAGAACGAACGCUGGCGGCAUGCCUAACACAUGCAAGUCGAACGAGACCUUCGGGUCUAGUGGCGCACGGGUGCGUAACGCGUGGGAACCUGCCCUUAGGUUCGGAAUAACAGUUAGAAAUGACUGCUAAUACCGGAUAAUGUCUUCGGACCAAAGAUUUAUCGCCUUUGGAUGGGCCCGCGUUGGAUUAGAUAGUUGGUGGGGUAAUGGCCUACCAAGUCGACGAUCCAUAGCUGGUCUGAGAGGAUGAUCAGCCACACUGGGACUGAGACACGGCCCAGACUCCUACGGGAGGCAGCAGUGGGGAAUAUUGGACAAUGGGCGAAAGCCUGAUCCAGCAAUGCCGCGUGAGUGAUGAAGGCCUUAGGGUUGUAAAGCUCUUUUACCAGGGAUGAUAAUGACAGUACCUGGAGAAUAAGCUCCGGCUAACUCCGUGCCAGCAGCCGCGGUAAUACGGAGGGAGCUAGCGUUGUUCGGAAUUACUGGGCGUAAAGCGCACGUAGGCGGCUUUUCAAGUCAGGGGUGAAAUCCCGGGGCUCAACCCCGGAACUGCCCUUGAAACUGGAUGGCUAG
rnacentral:ncRNA from 1 species